CGCGUAGGCGGCUCUUCAAGUCAAAGGUGAAAUCCCUCGGCUCAACCGGGGAACUGCCUUUGAUACUGUCGAGCUUGAGUCCCGGAGAGGGUAGCGGAAUUCCGAGUGUAGCGGUGAAAUGCGUAGAUACUCGGAGGAACACCCGUGGCGAAGGCGGUUACCUGGACGGGUACUGACGCUGAGGCGCGAAAGCUAGGGGAGCAAACAGGAUUAGAUACCCUGGUAGUCC
rnacentral:rRNA from 1 species